CUGGAUGUGAUGCAUAAUAACAUCUGACUCACAAUGAAGGUGUUUGUAUUCAUACUGUCUGAUCCAG